rnacentral:sRNA from 1 species
GCCUGGCGUGGUGGCNCAUGCCUUUAAUUCCAGCACUCGGGAGGCAGAGGCAGGCAGAUUUCUGAGUUAGAGGCCAGCCUGGUCUACAAAGUGAGUUCCAGGACAGCCAGGGCUAUACAGAGAAACCCUGUCUCAAAAACCAAAACCAAAACCAAAAAAAGACACGGUUUCCUUAUGUAGCUUUUGCCGUCUUGGAACUCACUCUGUAGUAGAUCAGGCUGGCCUCAAACUCAUAGAUAACUGCCUGCCUCU